rnacentral:rRNA from 1 species
GACGAACGCUGGCGGCGUGCCUAAUACAUGCAAGUCGAACGCAGUGGGGACGGGUGAGUAACACGUGGGUAACCUCCCAUCAGAGGGGAUAACACUUGGAAACAGGUGCUAAACUGAUACUGAUGGCUGGACCCGCUGUGCAUUAGCUCGUUUGUGAGGUAACGGCUCACCAAGGCAACGAUGAAUAGUCGAACUGAGGGGUGGAUCGGCCAACAUGGGACUGAGACAGGGCCCAGACUCCUACGGGAGGCAGCAGUAGGGAAUCUUCGGCAAGGGACGAAAGUCUGACGGAGCAACGAGAGGUGAUUGAAGAAGGUUGUCGGAGCGUAAAACUCUGUUGUUAGAGAAGCGGUAUCUAACCAGAAAGCCACGGCUAACUACGUGCCAGCAGCCGCGGUAAUUC